CCAAUAAGUUCCAGUACGGCUGGGUGGUUUGAUGUUGACCAUAGUUCGCAGGAACUACUCUCGCCUCGUGAAGCAGACAUCCAGGAAGGCAGGUUCCAGCUUUAGACAGGUAAAGCCCCUGCCCAGACAGUAUGGACUUCUGCAGCAGUGCGGCAGUAGGGUGGACAGACCGGCAUAUGACAGUUAGGCAACAGAGCCUAGAGCUUAACAGUAAGCUUACAGGAUACAACACCUGGAGCCCCAACCCUCCCAUCUCACCUCCCUGUGUGAAACCCAUUCCCCCUCCUUGUCACCACCCUCCUAAAUUAAAACUUCGGCUGCAGCCCCACUAUCGGAGGUUGGCUGCACUUGCUGCACAUGUAUGAGAGCAUGAGAAUUAAAGCAGGCACUGCAAAGACAGUGCUGACACAUACACACCCAACUCCUCCAACCAGCCCCAGCCACACUUCCUAGCAUGUAGUGUUAUCAUCAUGACAUGGCUAAAGAUCCCACAACGAAACACACAACCGUGGCACAGAUGUGCCCCACCACUACCUGCCUACAUCAAACAAAUCUGCCGUACUCCGAUAGCCAUAUCGGAAUACGACAGCGUUUUGAUGCCCCACGUAAAACACACAAGAGCCCCGACCCUUACCCCCAUCUUACCUCCAUUCCCGGCUGGACGUCGGCCCCAUCUUCCGAGGCCUGCUGCACGUGCAGCACGUGGAUGGGAACAUGAGAAUUAGGGCAGGCACGUCAAUUAGGGCAGGCACGUCAAUUAGGGCAGGCACGUUAAUUAGGGCAGGCACGUCAAUUAGGGCAGGCACGUCAAUGACGGAGUCGAAACAUACACACACCCCUCCCCCAACCAGCCCCAGCCACCCUCCAUAGCAUCAGGAACAAGAAAGAGGGCAAGGGGUAACGAAUCCACAAAGAAAA
rnacentral:lncRNA from 1 species